ACGACCAUAUAGCGUUGAAACACCGGGUCCCGUACGAUCACCGAAGUUAAGCAACGUCAAGCCUGGUCAGUACCUACAUUGGUGACCGCUUAGGAAUACCAGGUGUUGUAAG